rfam:Roseburia sp. 499 contig000015, whole genome shotgun sequence.
CACUGCACAAGGAAACGAGGCAGUAUUGAACGCACAGGAGUCAGCAGAGGUCAUAGUAGCCGAAAGGUGAAGGAC